UGAACGUAGACACACUUUAUUUUGCAUUCGAAAAAGCACGCCAUUGGCAGCUGCGCUAAACGCCCGCCAGGCUCCGGAUGCAAAAUUUGAAGCAUUUAAAUCGCAAAGAGUAUACGAUGAUGGCGUACAGAUGUCCUAUUCUGAAGAUGACAUUUACGAUCCUGCUAACCAUUUCAAGGAACUUUUCUUAAAGAUGCUAAAUCAAGUACGAGCGGGUGAUUAGUCAGUAUACAACCAUGGCUGGUUUCUUUUUUGUGGAGACUUUUACGUGAUUCACAUGUGUCACCCACAACGAACAGACUACAGUGCCUAAGUCGGUGCCAACCUCCAGCCAGAGCAAGAAGGGCAUCUCCGUAAAUACAUCACAUAAUACAUUAGACAACGUAGUUUUCACUUGUUGGGAUCGACUUUAUAGGAACUUUACAAGUAAAGUUCGUCGACAUAUCGCUGAAUGGCAAUGGAUUUUCUAGACCGCUACCUGAACAACUACUGCAGUCUGCAAGGAUUUUACUUAGCCAACGAGAACCUCUUGAGUUUGUUAUCCGUCUUCACUGUUCUCAUUUAUGCUUGGUAAUCCCUGCUCAUAUGAAUGAUAACGUCUGUACGUCAUCAUCACUAUCAUCGGCAGCUUCAUUGGACCAGGGUCGUUUGGGCUAAAACGAAACACUGAUAGUGGCAAAUGACAUUGUGACUUUCCUGUGACGGUGCCUCAUCGAAUCCUUUUCUUUCUGAGCGAAACCGGAUCGGAAAAGAAUGGCAGUCGACAAUAACCCAGCUACAGCCUUCUGCUCCCGGAUGGUUGAUAGCGGCAAAACGACCUAUGUGGUUCGGGGUGACAGGCACUUCUGGUCGAAAACCGUGUAUCUGCUUGCAAAUAGCACAUCUCACGCGAAAAGAUUGAUCCCCAGUGAUAACAUAACAGUACAAUGUAACAGUGUCUAUUGUGCUAACGACAGAUUUUCCACCAUGCAGAGCUGUCGAACAUUUUCAAUUGGAUUAUUUUAUUAUGAGAAAUGUUUUUUUUUGAUCGAUGCCAACCCUUUCCCAACUUUUACGUACUAAGUACAAAGGACAGUGUAUGCAGCGGCACGGCAAUAAAAGUAGCUAACCGACGUAUUAAGUCAAAGAUGACAAACGCUAUGAUUAGCGCCGUUGUAGCCUUAAUAUAUUAGGUCACAGCCUGGCUAAGUUAACUGUUAAUAAGUAAAUUACGUAGUGUAGUUAACUUAAUCGAAUAGUAUUCAAAGGUGUAUUAAGGAAUUAAUUUUCAAAGCUCCUUUGCAAUUAGCUGUGAUGGAUAUUUUCAAACUCUCACAUUGUACAAAUUAUUUCCUGUAAAAAAAAAAAAAGUAUUUUUCGACUAGUGAUAAAAGCAUAUUGUGGUGAAAAAUCGAUGGCCUUGUCUACACAGA